CUGAAAUCUGUCUGAAAGAAGGAAGGAUGAGCAGCCCAUUUAUCCACUGAAGCUUACCAGAUUUAGACCAGAGAAAUUUACAGCCCUUGUUUAGGCAAUCCUCCAUUCAAGCAGGAAGAUUUCUUUUGUGGUCUGAUACCACUGAAUAUACAGAAGCUUGUGGUUCUCUGGAUGCUGUUACCAACUUUUUGCUAUCUAAAAAUCUCCGGAAACAUACUCUGCUACCUCCAGCAGGAAUGAAAGAAAGCAUCAGAGAAGCCAUUGUAUCAUCAGACAAAUCUCUUACACAGAAUGUAAGCACAGAAGCUGCAUGUGAAAGCUUGAGGAGAAGCAGUUGAAGGCCCUGAGAGAAAGGCAGGGGGAGCAGAUGUGAGCCACAACCUCAUUUCUGUACCACAGUGUAAAAUUCUGCACAGCACUCACCAACAUGGAAGCUGAUGUAGCUGCACCCAAGGAGAGCACUGAUACUGAGCCAGCUCAGUAGAGCUAGCUCAGCUAGCUCAUUAGAGAGCAUCAUCUGAAGGGAAAUUUCCUUAAAGCUAACUUUUCUUUUUGCUUGAAGAUGUAUACUACUAACAAUAUAUUUUUUUUCAUUUAGUCUCAAAAAAUAUCUUUUAACCAUCUGAAAAUUUAUGCUGACAAAUAAUAACACAUAAUUCCCCAAACAAGUUUUUCUCUAACUUCCUAUCCUGCUAUCACUUCUGAGUACUCCUGAAAGCUGGAACAACUAAAAUAAUCUUCCAAUCAGUCUCGGUAGAACAAAAACAGAUUAUUUUACAUUAUUAAACAACAGCAACAGCAGUUAAAAGGUGAUAAACUUUAGGGUUCAAUGUGAAGAAGAGAACACUGACUGCUUUGUAUCCAUGGAAACACCCUGGUAAGAGUCUUCAUUUUUGCUUUGAGCUGUUUGUGCCAACACGGAACUUAUAACUGAACAUGGUGACAGAGAAGGAAGGGCUGCUUACUUGGAAGCUGUUAAAGUAUCUGUCUCUAGUAACUCUGCAAUAUAUCAUACUAUUCCAGCUUUCACACUGCCUAGAAUGUGCAUGUGUGUGAGUAUACCCACAGAUGCACACCACUAAAGAAAGCAAACAAACAAACAAAAAGAAACAAACAGACAA